rnacentral:tRNA from 1 species
UCUGAUGGUAAAGAAUCCGCCUCCAAUGCGGGAGACCUAGGUUCGAUCCCUAG